rfam:Byssochlamys spectabilis No. 5 DNA, contig: PVAR5_00032_2.
GACAGGAUGCCCGAGUGGUUAAGGGGCGGGCCUGCGUACGUAUUCUCUGAUUCGCGAACUUAACCACUACAUUUCCACUAACAACUUCCAUAGUAAGCCCGUGCAUUCGUGCGCCUGGGUUCGAAUCCCAGUUCUGUCG